CCCCAGUAAGGUACCUCUUUCCUCUCUCUCUCCUCUCUCCUCUCUCCACACAUUCUCUUCUCUAUUCCCCAUUCUCUCACGCCAUUGCCCCCUACCCCACCCCUUUUUUGUGACUUUCAGGCAACCCCUCCCCCUUUCCCGAGCUAGGCAGCCCCCCUCGAUUUUUUUUUUGUGGGUGAUUUUCAGGUACAAGCUGCGGCGGACAAGGAGAGCUUACGACAUUUGGACGCGAAGGGCAAAGAAACACCGGACGAAGUGUGCAAGAGCUAGCGAUAGUUGAUCUCGGGCGGAUCAAUGCAUACUUCCAGGUUUUUCCAUCGGGAGUUGGUACCUCCCGGCCUCCUUUUUUACUCUGUACACCCUUUUACGUUUUAUAUCUAAGCACCAUGUAUGUGGUUUACUUUGUUGAUUCCUAGCUUUCAUCCUUUUGCGUACUCCGUUGUAGUACGUGGGUGCAUCACUAUUUUACGUAAUCGGUUGGGGAUAGUGUCCGCGGCGGGAGAUGGUAGAGUAAGGUCAUGUCC
rnacentral:lncRNA from 1 species